AAUGAAUUUACGCAUUGAAUUCAUCUAACACACAUUCCAAAUUCGACAUGGAAUAGUUCAAUUACUUUAAGGGGCACUUGCGAAUAAAACAAAUUUGUUUCAAGAAUUGUGGAAGUUAUGAUCAAUUUGCCGAAAGGCGUCGGGUGGUCAGGUGCGCCGCUAGUCCGGAGCAGUCCGGAGCCUUUUGUUUGCUUGCAGGUAUGAAAGGGUCAGACUGGGUCAACCCUUUGCUAAUGCUAAUGGUUCUUCUGAAGCGUUGAUCUGUCAGCUGUGCAGCAGUAAACAACGUUCUUUAUUUUGUGCAUCGUAGUUUUACGAAAGUUAUAUAGUGAAAUGAUUCACAGAAAAUCAAAUUGUCAAAGUUAAAUGACAAGAGCGGAUAAAGCGAGAAAACUGAUUCGCAAAACCAGCUCAAAAAAAGAAGAUUUCCUGUGAAACGUUAUGAAUCCGAAUAAGAUUGUAGUCGUGUGAGUGCUUCGGCAAAGAAACUACGAAGAUCAGUUAAUUUAGAACCAAGCAUAAACUAUUAUAUUGAUGCAUUGGGCAUCAAAGUAGGAAGAAACAUAUCAGUAUUGCGAGAUCGAAGAUGCGAAAACGCAGAAGUAGCGCCAAAAUUCGAACUACAACGCAACCUGUGAAAGGGGGAUUCAGCGAAGGCAAUCACGGAUCGUUGCUGAGGAUUUACUUUAUGGCCCUGGAAUCUAAAAUUUGGAUUUACUGAAAAGUAGACGAACGACCAAGUGGUCAAGAGCGUAUCAUCUUUUUGCCAAACUAAAUGCGAAAUUUAUGUUGCACAUCAACAGACUUCAUGAAGUUCUAGGGACCGCAGAUCGUGCCAGUGAGGGACAUGUUUUACGUCGGCCACGAGAGUAACGCUUCGAGUGGAUGUACAUUCAUAAAAAAAAUUGUUUUAACAUACCUCAAUAUAUAUACUUUUGAAUAAAAAAAUAUCUGGAUGAA